rnacentral:rRNA from 1 species
UACGGAGGGUGCAAGCGUUAUCCGGAUUUACUGGGUUUAAAGGGUGCGCAGGCGGAUAUGUAAGUCAGUGGUGAAAUCUUCCCGCUUAACGGGAAAACUGCGAUUGAUACUAUAUAUCUUGAAUGCUGUGGAGGUAAGCAGAAUAUGUCAUGUAGCGGUGAAAUGCUUAGAGAUGACAUAGAAUACCUAUUGCGAAGGCAGCUUACUACGCAGAUAUUGACGCUCAUGCACGAAAGCGUGGGGAUCAAACAGG